rnacentral:rRNA from 1 species
UCGGGCCGGUCGGUCGACCUAAUACAUGACAAGUCGAGGUCGGGUUUGUCCGUUCGGGACAAGCUAGCGGCGGACGGGUGAGUAACACGUAGGUAACCUGUCCUUUAAGACUGGGAUAACUAUCGGAAACGAUAGCUAAGACCGGAUAACUGGUUUUCUCGCAUGAGAGAAUCAUAAAACACGGAGCAAUCUGUGGCUUGAAGAUGGGCCUGCGGCGCAUUAGCUAGUUGGUGAGGUAACGGCUCACCAAGGCGACGAUGCGUAGCCGACCUGAGAGGGUGAACGGCCACACUGGGACUGAGACACGGCUCAGACUCCUACGGGAGGCAGCAGUAGGGAAUCUUCCGCAAUGGACGCAAGUCUGACGGAGCAACGCCGCGUGAGUGAUGAAGGUUUUCGGAUCGUAAAGCUCUGUUGCCCUAGACGAACAGCAUCAGGAGUAACUGCCUGAUGUGUGACGGUAUAGGAGAAGAAAGCCCCGGCUAACUACGUG